rnacentral:tRNA from 1 species
GGAAGGAUGGUCCAGUGGUUAGGGCACUAACUGAGACUUGGAAAAAGCUGGGUUCAAGUCCCUGUUCUGCCA